UACAGAGGUCUCAAGCUUGUUGGUCGAUUCAUUGGGCGUAAAGAGCUCGUAGGCGGUUUGGCAAGUCGGGUGUGAAAACUCCGGCUCAACUCGGAGACGCCACUCGAUACUGCCAUGACUCGAGUCCGGUAGGGGAGUGCGGAAUUCCUGGUGUAGCGGUGAAAUGCGUAGAUAUCGGGAGGAACACCAGUGGCGAAGGCGACUACCUGGCCUGUUCUUGACGCUGAGGCGCGAAAGCUAGGGGAGCAAACGGGG
rnacentral:rRNA from 1 species